ACAAGCUGCAGCAGAGGUGUCAGCAGAAACUCCAAUCAGGUAUUGCCAUGCCUGUGGCACAGGCUGCAGCUGCCAUUCCACCCCUAGCCCUGGGAACUUCCUUAUGCACAGGUGCCCUGGGCAAAAGAAAAAAAAAAGCUCCACCUGGCUACAUUCAGUCAAACCCAGUCUCUCUCUGGUCACAGCUGUGCAGUCACAAAAUCAAUCCUACAAUAGGCCCUGCCCCCACUUAGAGCAAACACACUGGCGCCAUCACACAUCCCACACACAUACAUUUACACACGUACAUCGCAUAAUGCUCCAUCACUUACAGUUGCACAACCAUCCUCCACAGCUCACAUACACACAGGUAUGGGGUGGGCGUUUUUCACCUUGAGCUCCUCCCACAAUCCAGCUUUGGCCACCCCAACUCAUCAAUGGGAGGUGAAAAAACCGAGGGGACCCCGAUUCCAGCCAAGGGUGGUGGUGGUACUGUUUGGGGGUUGGGGGUAACACAGUACAAGCCGGGAAAGCCAGGAUCUGCCGAUUGUGCGAGGAACCGGCCACACAGAGGAUCACCAGCCCGCUCCAGAUUUUGCGGCGCUCUGGCCCGCAGGACCGCGCACGCGCAGCGGGGGUAGCCUGCUGAGGCAGCUCGCUGGAACCCGACCCAGGUCCCCAAAGCCCGGAGGAAGGCGGAAGCCUCAAGCCUGCGUGUGCUUAGACCCCGACUUCAGUUCCAGAGUUUAUGGGGCCCAGGCUGCUCUCACACUUUUAUCUGCGCUGAAUUUACCUGCCUAUAGGAGGCUGCCUUUCACUUCCAGCUGCUGCUCUCAGACGAGCCUGCUAUACUUUCUAAUACCACGUAGGGUGAUCAACCAUCUCAGUUUGCCUGGAAUUAUCCUGGUUUUAGCGCUGCAAAGUCCUACAUCCUGGAAAACUUCAGACUUGGGCAAACCAGGACCUUAGUCAACCUUAUGUCCGAUCCUCUUUUCUGGACUUCUAAGUGGAAGGACGUCUCAGAGCACAAUCUUUGAGCCUCUUCUCCUCUCAGUAUUUCACUCAUUUAUCAAGUGAUUACAUUCAGUCCAAUUGCUUAAUAAACUGUCUGCUGAAGA